GACGAACGCUGGCGGCGUGCUUAACACAUGCAAGUCGAACGGUGAAAGGGAGCUUGCUCCCUGGAUCAGUGGCGAACGGGUGAGUAACACGUGGGCAACCUGCCCCAGACUUCGGGAUAACGCUUCGAAAGGAGUGCUAAUACCGGAUACGAACUCCUUGGGCAUCCUUGGGGUUGGAAAGUUUUUCGGUCUGGGAUGGGCCCGCGGCCUAUCAGCUUGUUGGUGAGGUAACGGCUCACCAAGGCGACGACGGGUAGCCGGCCUGAGAGGGCGACCGGCCACACUGGGACUGAGACACGGCCCAGACUCCUACGGGAGGCAGCAGUGGGGAAUAUUGCGCAAUGGGCGAAAGCCUGACGCAGCAACGCCGCGUGAGGGAUGACGGCCUUCGGGUUGUAAACCUCUUUCAGCAGGGAAGAAGCGAAAGUGACGGUACCUGCAGAAGAAGCACCGGCUAACUACGUGCCAGCCGCCGCAGUAACAC
rnacentral:rRNA from 1 species